CGGGUGAGUAACGCGUGAGGAACCUGCCUCAAAGAGGGGGACAACAAUUGGAAACGACUGCUAAUACCGCAUAAGCCCACAGCUCGGCAUCGAGCAGAGGGAAAAGGAGCAAUCCGCUUUGAGAUGGCCUCGCGUCCGAUUAGCUAGUUGGUGAGGUAACGGCCCACCAAGGCGACGAUCGGUAGCCGGACUGAGAGGUUGAACGGCCACAUUGGGACUGAGACACGGCCCAG
rnacentral:rRNA from 1 species